UAGGGAAUCUUCCACAAUGGGCGCAAGCCUGAUGGAGCAACGCCGCGUGAGUGAAGAAGGUCUUCGGAUCGUAAGACUCUGUUGUUAGAGAAGAACAUGCAGGAGAGUAACUGUUCUUGUAUUGACGGUAUCUAACCAGAAAGCCACGGCUAACUACGUGCCAC
rnacentral:rRNA from 1 species